CUACGGGUGGCACCAGUGAGGAAUAUUGCACAAUGGGGGGAACCCUGAUGCAGCAACGCCGCGUGGAGGAUGACGCAUUUCGGUGUGUAAACUCCUUUUAUAUGUCAAGAAAAUGACGGUAGCAUAUGAAUAAGCACCGGCUAACUCCGUGCCAGCAGCCGCGGUAAUACGGAGAGUGCAAGCGUUACUCGGAAUCACUGGGCGUAAAGGACGCGUAGGCGGGUUGGAAAGUCAGGUGUGAAAUCCUACAGCUUAACUGUAGAACUGCACUUGAAACUUCUAAUCUAGAGUAUGGGAGGGGGAGAUGGAAUUAGUGGUGUAGGGGUAAAAUCCGUAGAUAUCACUAGGAAUACCCAAAGCGAAGGCGAUCUCCUGGAACAUUACUGACGCUAAGGCGUGAAAGCGUGGGGAGCAAACAGGAUUAGAUACCCGGGUAGUC
rnacentral:rRNA from 1 species